CAUGUUCCACCAAUGAGUUUGUUCACAGGGAGUGGAGUGUGUGUGUGUGGGGGGGAUGUCCUGAUGUGUGUAAGGAAUGCAUUGUGUGAAUCUGUGUAAGGGCUGCAAGAUGAGUUUGUGUAUGUAUGGGAUGCAGUGUGUGCGUCUGUAAGGGAUGCAUUGAGUGUGUGUAAGGGGUGCAUUGUGUGUUGCUGUGUGUAAGGGAUGCAUUGCUU